GAAAUGCGAUAAGUAGUGUGAAUUGCAGAAUUCAGUGAAUCAUCGAAUCUUUGAACGCACAUUGCGCCCUUUGGUAUUCCUUAGGGCAUGCCUGUUCGAGCGUCAUCUAAACCCUCAAGCACUGCUUGGUGUUGGGCGUUUGUCCCCCGCGGACUCGCCUCAAAAGCAUUGGCAGCCCCCGGCGCAGCGCAGCACUCGCGCCCCAGACCGGCGGCGUCCACAAGACCACCCCCAAGUUUGACCUCGGAUCAGGUAGGGAUACCCGCUGAACUUAA
rnacentral:misc_RNA from 1 species